CAUUUUAGCAUUGAUCAGUUUAGUGAACCGCAAACACCAGAGGCACGGCGAAAGUUAGUAACUGGUGCUGUGCCAGUAAUCUUUGCCUGGAAUAAUUACACAGCUAAAGCACUGCGGCCCAGUGUGUGGGAGAGGAGAGAGAGGCCUGCCGAAGUGGUAUCCGCUGAACCCGUACCCAUGGAUGUAACGAUGGAUCAUGAUUACUGUAGCAUUCCUGAGCCUUCUUCAUUAGACCUGGCAUGUGCUAAAGUAGAAGAACUCUCUAAUGAAGUGGAGGAGCUGAAAAAACAGCUACAUGAGCUACACGUUCAGCGUGAUUUCGCAUUGGAGCGGUUUGCCGGCUCAGAUGAGGACAUCAGAUUUUACACAAGGUUUCCCAGCUACCGUCACCUGAUGUCAUUCUGAUGGCUAAUCGAGCCAUCUGUACACAAAAUCAUUCGUGUGUCCAGAUCGAAAUCUGCUGCUAGAAAGCAUGAAGAUAUCACACGUGUACUGCCACCAUCAGAGAGACAGCUGCUGCAGCCAAUCGAUGAGUUUUUUCUUUUCCUUAUGCACCUGUCAGUUGGUUUAGAGGAGAGAGACCUGGCACACCGAUUUCAUAUGCAUCCUUCCACAGUGAGCAGAAUAAUUUCGACGUGGACAAACUACCUCUAUACACUGCUGGGAUCAGUGUGUGUGUGGCUUUCAGCAGCUGAUGUA